rnacentral:rRNA from 1 species
ACGCUCGACACCUACGGGAGCAGCAGUGGGGAAUAUUGCACAAUGGGGGAAACCCUGAUGCAGCGACGCCGCGUGAGCGAAGAAGUAUUUCGGUAUGUAAAGCUCUAUCAGCAGGGAAGAAACUGACGGUACCUGACUAAGAAGCACCGGCUAAAUACGUGCCCACAGCCGCGGUAAUCUGAGCGGGCGUGGCAAGGC